rnacentral:rRNA from 1 species
GACGAACGCUGGCGGCGUGCUUAACACAUGCAAGUCGAGCGGUAAGGCCCUUUCGGGGGUACGACGAGCGGCGAACGGGUGAGUAACACGUGGGUGACCUGCCCUCAGCUCCGGGAUAAGCCGUGGGAAACCGGGUCUAAUACUGGAUAUGACUCCAUGACGCAUGGUUGUGGGGUGGAAAGCCUUGUGCGGCUGAGGAUGGGCCCGCGGCCUAUCAGCUUGGUUGGUGGGGUGAUGGCCUACCAAGGCGACGACGGGUAGCCGGCCUGAGAGGGCGACCGGCCACACUGGGACUGAGACACGGCCCAGACUCCUACGGGAGGCAGCAGUGGGGAAUCUUGCGCAAUGGGCGAAAGCCUGACGCAGCGACGCCGCGUGAGGGAUGAC